rnacentral:tRNA from 1 species
AGGGUAAUAGCUCAGUGGCAGAGCACAUAGUUAGCAUUCAUGAGGUCCUGGGUUCAAUCCUCAGUGCCGCCA